rnacentral:rRNA from 1 species
AACGAACGCUGGCGGCGCGCCUAAUACAUGCAAGUCGAGCGAGAAGACGUAGCAAUACGUUUGUAAAGCGGCGAACGGGUGAGGAAUACAUGGGUAACCUACCCUCGAGUGGGGAAUAACUAGCCGAAAGGUUAGCUAAUACCGCGUACGCUCCUUGGACUUCGGUUCAGGGAGGAAAGCGAUACCGUGGGUAUCGCGCUCUUGGAUGGGCUCAUGUCCUAUCAGCUUGUUGGUGAGGUAACGGCUCACCAAGGCUUCGACGGGUAGCUGGUCUGAGAGGACGAUCAG